rnacentral:rRNA from 1 species
UACGUAGGUGGCAAGCGUUGUCCGGAAUUAUUGGGCGUAAAGCGCGCGCAGGUGGUUCUUUAAGUCUGAUGUGAAAGCCCACGGCUCAACCGUGGAGGGUCAUUGGAAACUGGGGAACUUGAGUGCAGAAGAGGAAAGUGGAAUUCCAAGUGUAGCGGUGAAAUGCGUAGAGAUUUGGAGGAACACCAGUGGCGAAGGCGACUUGCUGGUCUGUAACUGACACUGAGGCGCGAAAGCGUGGGGAGCAAACAGG